AUUGUUGUUUUAUUUUGUUUGCUAUAAAGAUUAGCCUCUUGUUCAAUAGAAAAUAUGAUCAAAAACAGUUUUCAAAAAUUAUUUAAGGGCCCCAUCAUUACAGCAAUCAUUAGCCCUGCUGUGUAUGAAAUUUCUAAGUAUUUCUAAAUGCUCAACCCUAGACAUUCCCUUCACUGAUACUUUUAAAGUGCUUUCAGUACCUUGGCCAUUUAAUAACUUAUGUUCUUUUUUCAAAAUCUUAGGAAGAAAUUGUGUUUUGGAAUUGGGCCAACAGUAUGUGUUUCUCCAGUGGAUAAGCAAAAUUUCAUAAGAACAAAGAUGAUUCAAGCAGAUGUUUAUCAUGAAACUGCCAUAAAAAGCACCCGAAGUCACAAAGAUAAACAUCAAAUCCAGUCUUUGGAAAUUUCCCCCACCCUACCUGAACAUCUUUUGAAGCAGAUAUUCAAUUAUUUUGAAGGAUUUUUAAAGAAUUUUCUAGAUUUCAUCUAAAAGACACUUUUGAAAUCUUGGUUAAAAUUCAUGGAAAUAUAUCCUAGAUGAAUUUGGAUGAAUGUCAGCAAGUAGGUCCAAACCUUUAUUUUAUCCCUCAGUGACUCACUCAGUUGUGAAUAGGAAGGGCUCUCUGUGAUCUGGCCACAGCUUAUUUCUUGCCACAUCCUAUUUUCAGUCCUCUUCCAAUCAUGUGGAACUUCCAGCAUCUCCUUACACAUGCCGUGUUAUUUCACACUUUUGUGACUUUGCUCAUAUUGUUCUCUCUCCCAGGAAAGCUCCCCGACAACUCCACUGCCAUUACCCACUAGGCAAGUACAUCCUGUUUUCAGAAUCAGCCCAAUAUCAUCUUUCCUAGGGAAUCUUGUCAGACUGCCCUUCAUUACCAACAGACAAAAUAACUAGCUUAUCUUUGGUUCUCUCUUCACUCUAGACCUAUGUAGCAUGCUACCUAUAACACUGUAUUGGUUUGUUGGCAUUUGUAUUUUCCACUGAGCAACCAUAACUUAUGUGUAGACAAAAAUUGUGUUGCUCACCUUUGGAUUACUAGGACGUAGCAGUGUUCUGAUUCAGAGUAUGUAAUUCAAUAAAUUCAUCUUGAAAAGUGAAUGAAUGAAUAAAUGAACUCCUGUAUCUCCAUCACUGAUUUACUAUUUAAUCAGUGAAUUUUUUAAAUUAUAUUGUCCCAUAUCUUGAGGUUUGAUCUUGUGUUAAAUCAGUUGCACAUAUUAGACAUUACUUUGUCCUUUUCACUUCUCCUUAGCACAUAUGGGCUAUAUAAUCUUUAUAAAGGUUAAAGAAAUAUAUUGUAAUAUGUUAUAAUACAAUCAAGAUACAUCUGAAACAACACAGUGCAGACACUAUUUCCAAUGUUCAACAUCAUGCUGGAGUAAAACUUAAAGAAUCUUGGAAAAAAGAAAUACUAAAAUAAUGUCACUAGUGUAAUGUGCCACAUUGUAACGGUGUUAUGCUUAUCACAUAUGUUAUCUAGUAAUGCACAAAAAACCUAAAGGAUUUGUUCAUAUUUUCCUCAUGUGCAAAUGAAAACACUAAGUCUCAGAGAGAUUAAAUAAAUUGCCAAAUGUCAUGUUAAGCGAUUUUGAUCCUGGUCUUUCCAAUAUAAAAGCCCAUGUUUUAAUUUAUUAACUGUUUGACAUAUAACAAUAAUAGACCAUUACAUGUUAAUAUAAAUAACAUAUGUAUGAACACUAAUUAUAUUUUUACUUCUGCAUUCAAUCAACUGCAACAUGUCGUUUUGGUUGAUGUAUACAGAAAAAACUCAACAUCUCGCAGAUAUUGGCUUGGAAAACAGAGGACAUUUUUAUAUCCAUUUCAGAUAAACGUAUAUAUUUUUCUUUAAUAGUACACCAACAUUUAACAAGUGACUAUUUCUUAAAGGGUAGUUGCAGCAUGAAAUCCAAAAUAACAUCAAUAAACUUUUUGUUCUCUAUUACACUAAAA
rnacentral:lncRNA from 1 species